CCUACGGAGGGCUGCAGUGGGGAAUAUUGGACAAUGGGCGAAAGCCUGAUCCAGCCAUGCCGCGUGUGUGAAGAAGGCCUUCGGGUUGUAAAGCACUUUCAGUGGGGAAGAAAGCCUUGGGGCUAAUACCCUCGAGGAAGGACAUCACCCACAGAAGAAGCACCGGCUAACUCCGUGCCAGCAGCCGCGGUAAUACGGAGGGUGCGAGCGUUAAUCGGAAUUACUGGGCGUAAAGCGCGCGUAGGCGGUCUGAUAAGCCGGUUGUGAAAGCCCCGGGCUCAACCUGGGAACGGCAUCCGGAACUGUCAGGCUAGAGUGCAGGAGAGGAAGGUAGAAUUCCCGGUGUAGCGGUGAAAUGCGUAGAGAUCGGGAGGAAUACCAGUGGCGAAGGCGGCCUUCUGGACUGACACUGACGCUGAGGUGCGAAAGCGUGGGUAGCAAACAGGAUUAGAUACCCUAGUAGUC
rnacentral:rRNA from 1 species